rnacentral:lncRNA from 1 species
CCAUCUUUCUUCCAGUAGUUGGGCUUGUUGAUCCUGAUAAGUUGAAACCCGGUGAUCUGGUUGGAGUGAAUAAGGAUAGUUACUUGAUUUUGGACACACUGCCUUCUGAAUAUGAUUCGCGGGUGAAGGCAAUGGAAGUUGAUGAGAAACCAACCGAAGAUUAUAAUGACAUUGGAGGGCUAGAGAAGCAGGUAUGUUGAUGAUUCAUGCUUAAUAAUAUAAUACUGAGUGGUGAUUAUUUAUGCGAAUUAUCUGAUGUCUUUUUUUUGCAUUUGUCUGGUAUGACAGAUCCAAGAGCUCAUUGAAGCUAUUGUGCUGCCAAUGACACACAAAGAGCGUUUCCAGAAGUUGGGGGUUCGUCCACCUAAAGGAGUGCUUCUAUAUGGACCUCCCGGUACUGGGAAAACAUUGAUGGCUCGUGCUUGUGCAGCACAAACAAAUGCUACCUUUUUGAAGCUCGCAGGCCCGCAACUAGUCCAGGUAUGAUUUUCUUUUUCAUUCUCAAACUCAUUUUUCCUUUCAAGUAAAUAUAUUUUGGCACUUUUUUCGUGGCAAUUUGUAAUUUGUCUGGGAAUUAUUUGUUGUGUUCACUCUUCUAGAUUGCCCAUUAUUGGCUUACUAUGUCUCCAUUGAUCCAUUGAUAUUAACAGCUGGUGCUUAAUCAUUGAGAUCUUUGUAGUUAUGAUGCUUGCUAUUAUUUGUGUACUUACUAAUGAACUUACCUUGAGUAUGUAUAGAUGUUCAUUGGAGAUGGAGCCAAACUAGUUCGUGAUGCCUUUCAACUUGCAAAGGAGAAGUCCCCCUGCAUUAUUUUCAUUGACGAAAUUGACGCAAUCGGUACAAAGCGGUUUGACAGGUAAACCAUAUCUUUAAGUCAUUAUAUAACGUGCAAUCAAGUUGUUGUUAUUGGUGUGUGGGGGUUUAUUAUUGAGUUUUAUUCUUAAAUAGCCUCACUGUGACUGCAGUGAAGUGAGUGGAGACAGGGAGGUGCAGCGAACUAUGUUAGAGUUGCUCAAUCAGCUCGAUGGAUUUAGCAGCGAUGAUCGGAUUAAGGUUUGUGAAGGCUCAUACAUAUGCCAGAUUUUCUUAUUUACUCCCUUUAUGGUCGUCCAGACAUGAGUACAAGUUCUUUCAAGGUUUUAAUUCUUUUUGCAGUGUAAAUUUGAGUUCUUCAUGUGAGAGGGAUGGAAAUUUUGCUUAUCUAGGAUACUGUCUCUGACAUUUGGUGUUUUGUGACUAAAUGAACCGUAGUGUGGCACUUGGAAUUAGAUCAUCCCAUUUCUAUUUAGGGUGCUUGAUUUCGCUAACAAUAACUUCCUUUAAAUUUCAGGUCAUAGCAGCAACAAAUCGUGCUGAUAUCCUGGACCCUGCUCUUAUGCGAUCUGGCCGUUUGGAUCGCAAGAUCGAGUUACCACAUCCGAGUGAGGAAGCUAGAGCUCGCAUUUUGCAAGUAUGUCUCUUGGAAAUGCUUUCUUAAAUGAUUUUGUGUAUGUUGUAUUUUCUCUCGCAUUUAAAUUCUUAUCAUAUUUCCUUUUAUCGAUCCUGUAGAUCCAUUCGAGGAAGAUGACUGUUCACCCGGAUGUCAACUUCGAAGAACUUGCUCGAUCCACUGACGAUUUCAAUGGGGCACAACUAAAAGCUGUUUGUGUUGAAGCAGGGAUGCUUGCUCUUCGCCGUGAUGCGACUGAGGUACCCCUCUCUCCCCCUUCUGCCACAGAGUAGCGGGGCUUUAAGCUUUUUGAAGCAAAGCUAAUUUGAGUAUUUGGAUUGUUGUCUCAUAUAGGUCAACCAUGAGGAUUUCAAUGAAGGUAUCAUUCAGGUGCAGGCUAAGAAAAAGGCUAGCUUAAACUACUAUGCAUAGACACAUCCAAAGGCGAAGUUUUAGCCUCUACUUCAAUUGGUAAUUAAUAUAUUUUGGGUUGAAUAUUAAAAAAUGGGUAUUAAACAUUGUCUUUGUACUGUACAUAAUAUGUUAUAAUAAGAAGUGAAACUCCCAAGUCAGCCGCGUGAUAAUUUUUUUUAAUGUGAUGAAAGUCAAACUGUUACUCUUGAGAUAUUUUUACUCUUGUGUUAGAGGAUGUAUGUUGAUGGAAAGGAAAUGCGACGGUACCAUAUACGAGAGAGUUUUGCAAGUUUCACCGUGAAUUUGUUUGCAGCAAGAUAAUUGAUGAAUGAUUUUAGUUUUCUUUUUCCAGUACUGAGAUUUAUAUAUUGAUCAUCACCUGGCUUCAAUUACUCUCGCCAUGGCUUAGUCUAAUGAAUCGCGCCUAUCAAGACUGUUCUGUAUAACAAGACUAGCUCAAGUUAGGUUGGACAAACCUUUUUUGGAGUGUCUUUUUUUAAAUAAAUAGAUAAAUAAAUAAUAAUAAUAAUAAUAAUAAUAAUAAUAAGUGGAUAAUGUCUAGUGGAAACUUCUUGCUGAAGAUUUUACUGAAGUUAUAUAGCUAGUAAUGAUGAUGGAGCAUAUUAUAUUAGGGUCAUAUUAUUUUACAUAUUAUGUAACAUGCAAUAAUCUUUGAGUUAGUCACUUCAAAUUAAAAAGUCACAGCAUGUGAAACAAUUGAGUUAUUAUAGGUGAUAACUCAUGGCAUUUGCUAUGUCGUACAUGAUAGGUAACAUGGUUCACCCAUUAUAUUAUUGCCAUUUGCUUUAUUCUCUUAAAAAUGUGGGACACGUGCAAUGAUAUAAUUUGUUAUAUUAGCUUAUAACAACAAAAUUUGUACAAAAUUUUUUAUAUGUAUCAUUAUUAUUUAUAUAUAAACUUAAAAGGUAGCGUUGUUUUGAUAUAUUAUAAAACCUUUUAAUGUGUAGCAAAGAAUCAGUAUUUAUAUGAUGCGAUAUUUCGCUCAAUUGUUCAAUUAAUAAAGCACCAUCAAGCCAGUCGAAAGUGCAAGUAUUAAUUUCAAAUAAAAAGAAAAGAAAUUAUGCAUAAAUUUGUAAUCCCUUCACGAACUUUCUUUCAUGCAAUAUUAAUUUUUUUUCGGCCACCAAACAUGUGACAAUAUUUUUCAAGGCUUUGUUUAUAUGAAAUUUCUAUAGAUGCAAAAAUCUGAAAAAUCAAAAUUUUUAAUGCAUAACUAAACCUUAAACUACUAGUUACUAAUGAAAUUCCAGAAGGGAAAAAAAAAGUGAAUUAUUUAAAGAUAAUAAAAAAGAAAUAAAAGCACAAAUUUCACAGGAAAAAAAUUAAAUGUUCCAACUAAGGCAUCUGUUCCGAUAUCAUGAUUUUAAAAAACAUUAAACAGGACAUAACCAAACUCCAAAUCUCCAGUACAUGAUAUUAAUAUUUAUUAUCAGCGACAAAGUUUGCACAUUUUUUUAAGGUGAACUAAAAUUCUUUUAAUUACUGUACAUGGUUAGAGCGUAAAGAUAUUUUUGACUUUGCACUAUAAAAUAUAAAUAAAUUAUAACAAAAACAAACCCCAUGACCUUGCACAAUAAACAUUAAAAUAAAAAAAAGUAAUGAAAAUCUGUUCAUCGCCGUCUCUCUCUUCCUUCUCAUCUCUCAUUAAAACGUUAAAAUAAAAUUCUUAUUUCUUAAAAGUUAAAAUCAGAUAAUUUCUUCCUUUCAUCAUUUCCUCCAAAUUUGUAAAACAAGCGGCCCUCUUUUUCUUUAAACUUUGGAACCCUUAGUUGGUGCUACCCUCACAUCAAGACUUAAAAGUCCAUGUUCACCUCAUUUAACCAUCUAUGGUCAUCUUAUAUUGGCAGAUCCAACUCAUGGAGCCAUUAGUGCAGCUAAUUGCCAAUGCUAAGCCACCGUCGGUUUAUAAUUUUUGUUAUGUUAAAAAAAAUUUUAAUCUAGAGAAUUUUUUUUUUGUAAUUAACAAAAAAUUAUUUUUCAAAAAUCUUACUCUAGUUACAACUUGAGUUAGCCUCCCUUAGCUUCACCACACACCACUAUUUAUUAUUAAAUACAUUUGAAAAUUUUUAAACUUUAAAUUUAUUUAAUUAUUAAAUAAAUUAGUAAUACAUAAUUAGUUUAAAAUAUAUUUAUAUAUAUAAUUUUAUUUGUUUAUGUUUAAAAUUAUUUUUAUUUUUAUUUUUUUACUAUGUAAUCACUACUAUCCGGAAUUAAAGCCCAAGAUAGAAUUAGGAUAUUAUUCUAAAUUUUAAUUCCAAAUCUAAGAAGCACUAUAUAUGUGUGGGUAAAAUUAGGAAUAAAAUCCAAUGUCUUUAAAUUGAAAUGAAUUAGUAAAAAUUUUGAAGAUGAAUUAAAAGGUAUCUCCAGAUCAAUUCAUAAAAUUUUUACUAUUUUUUUUUUCAAUCAACAAAUCUGUAUACUGCACUAAUUGUAAUUAUUGAAAUAGAAUGAAGGCUAGAAAUAAAACACAGUUUAAGUUUUACGCGUUCCCGCCUCCUAAUUGCAAGUGCAUUGUUCCGGGACUUCCGGCAGAGGUUUACAAUGGUUGGAUUUUGGAGAGUUGGAUGAGUUGGGGCAAAGUUGUCAAUUCAUACAUUGUAAAAAUAACGGAAGCUAAAUUCCACCACUGUAAUAGAGGAAUCGCAAUUCCUCAAUCAACCGGAAGAUGAAUUUCAUUUGAAAGUAAAAUUCGGUUUAGUAAUGGUAACCAAAAAAGUGAAAUGACAACGGAGCUUGAAUUCUUUUUUCACCCAUCCUCUCGAUCCAACUAGACACUACCUUAAUAGUUGGCAAUAUCAACUUGAAAUAUUAACUUCCCAACGACGAAGUUUGAUUGCUCGACACUAACCACUCCUAAUGGUUGACAUAAUAUUAACUUCCCAACGAUACAUUUAGUUCUGAUUGCUUGACAACAAAAUUCUCCCACUCAAGUUGAGUCACUUAGUUAGAUUAGUUUCCUCCUAUGUCUUAAAAGUAAAUUAAAUAAACGAAACAAAGCAAAUUUAAGAAAACAAAAAAAGAAAAAAGAAAUGACAUGCGAGGAGAUAAUGAUUAUGAAUUUCUGAGAUAAUAAUUUUUCAUUGACCGUUUAUUAUUAACAAAAAAAAAUUAUAUUAGUGUGAGAAUCUUCAAACUCUAAGGGAAUCCAGAAAAGAAAUGCAUUUUUUUUUUCACGUGAAUUAUGCAUGUUAUAGAAAUAAAAAUGGUAUUCUUCUGCUACAUUUUACACAACUAUGGAGAAACAAAAAGAGAGUGAUACAAAUGACAAGAUUGAGUUGCAAAAUUACCACGUCAUUAAUGACUAAUAUUGUUUACGAGAAUUUCACAAUUUACAUGGAUGCAUUGCAAUUAGGAAAGUGUGACAUCAAUUGCAUACGGGCCCGUUUGGAAUUGGUUUUGGGAGGCUUAAAAGUAAUUUUGAAAAUUCAAAAGCUAAUUUUAGUAUUUGAUAAAAAAAAUCAAAAUCACAUUUGUCAAAGUCAACCCCUCUUACAAUUGAUUUUGAAAAGCAUGGAAAGAAUAUCUUUUAAAUUCUGAUUUUGAAAAUUAAUUUUAUCAUUUUAAUACAAUUUCAUAAACAUCCUUAAAAUUAUUACCUAAACUCAAAAGUAUCCUUAUUCAAAUUGGAAACAAAAUCAAUAUUUUAAUAAAUUUUUAUUGUAACUCAUCAGUAUAAAUUUAUUAAUAUCAAUUUAUUGGUCAAAUUAUUAUUUUUCACUAUAUUAUAAAUUUAAUUAUCAAUUGUUUUAAGAUAAAAAAAUAAAAAAAUUUGAUAUAUCAUAAAUUUUAUUUCUAGUAAAAAUUAUUAUAAUACACAAUUAAAAAUAUUAUAAGUACGUAUUUUUAUAUGUAUAAGUAAAUUUUAUUUUACAUUAUGUACAUUUUAGUCAUUUGUUUUAUUUCAGUAAUUUAACAGUAAAAUUUACCAAACGUCCAUAACUGCUUUCAAAACUCACAGUACUUCUAAAAACAAAAUUUACCAAACAUUUAGCUGAUUCUCUUUAUAACUGAUUAUUUUUACAGCACAAGUAAUAUCAAUUAUUUUAGAAGUUACAGCAUUCCCAACCUAGCCCUAUGUUCCACAUGAUAUUAUAAAUUCUUUAUGAUUAUUUGUAAGGAUAGAUCAAUAAAAAUACGGGUAGCCACAUGCAAGCGAUACUUUGUUUUGUUUAGUUUAUUUUUUCUAAAUUAAUUCUUUCCUGAACAUAUAGUAAUUCCCUAAAAUAGUAUCAACAAAAAUCAAUAAUUUUAACUUAUUUAGAACUUUUUGAAUUUUUAUUUAUUAUGUAAAUACAAUAUUUUGUCAAACAUUUAAAUUAUAAGAUUUAAUUUUUCUAAUUUGAGCAUUUUUUAUUAGUUAUUUGUACUUUUUCUAUUAAAAUUUGAUAGCAUAUCUGUUUAAAUUUUUAACAACAACAACAACAACAAUAAUAGUAAUAGUAAUUUUCUAAUGUAUUGAAAUACAUUAAAACAAAGUAAGGAUAUUAAUAACUGACAAAAAUAUAAAUUUUAAAAAUAUAUUGAAAUAUAUAUUUUUUUAUAUUUUAGUGGUAUCGUAACCUUAUAUAUAUAUAUAUAUAUAUAUUAAAAUACAAGAAAAAUCUAAGAAAAUUAUAAAAUUAUAAAAUUUAAGAAUUUUAAAACUCAAAAUAUUUAAACCGCACGAUUUACUGUUUUUUUAGACUUUCCCUCACUUUAAUAUGAGCUCUCUUUGUUAUCAAUAAAAUUUCGCGUUUUUUGAUUUCACUAGGCGCCGUAAUUUUCCGUUCGAGUCAGAUUCCAAAGCCCAAGCCCAGGCCAAUUUUAUAAUUCCUUGCACUCCAUAUAAGCGGCAUUCAACCUCUCCGUUUCUUCGGUAACAAGUUGGAGUUUUUAACUUUGAGUCACACUCUUAUCUCUCUUUUAUUUUCUCGGUGCAAAUUUUGUGUGGAAAAAUAAUCAUAUGGCGACGGCAAUGGUGGAAGAUCCCAACUUGGAAGACGAUCAACUGUCUUCCAUGACGGCCGAUGAUAUUGUUCGGGCGUCGCGGCUACUCGACAACGAGAUUCGUGUCCUAAAGGUAACAGAUCUUUACAUUUUUUUUUUAAACACUAACACUUAAUUUUGAAGGGUUUUAUUUGUUCGCUAGUUUUGCACUAGGUACCUGAAAUUUGUUGAUUUUGUGAUAUUGUUUUGGGUGGGGUUUAGGAAGAAUUACAAAGAACGAAUCUUGAGUUAGAUUCGUUCAAGGAGAAGAUUAAGGAGAAUCAAGAGAAGAUUAAACUCAAUAAGCAGCUUCCUUACUUGGUGGGCAACAUCGUUGAGGUAAUUUUUAGUUAAAAAAUUCCUACAUUUUCCCAAUUUUGGCAAUGAUUUAAUUAUUAUCUACGGUCGUAUGAGUAAAGCUAGAAGCUUUUUAUUUGAGCUUAUUAAUUUUGCGAAAAGGUAAUUUUUUUUUUAAUAUCAAUGCAGUUACUGAAAAAUGUUUUGUGUGUGGUUUUAAGCUGAUUUAUUUGAGUAUAAGUGCAAGCUUCAGUAUUAAUCUUUUUCAUGUGUUUAGAUUUUGGAGAUGAACCCAGAGGAUGAGGCUGAGGAAGAUGGUGCUAACAUUGAUCUUGACUCGCAAAGGAAGGGUAAAUGUGUAGUGUUGAAGACUUCUACUCGUCAGGUGAGCUGCGCAUUCUUAAAUUGUGCGUGUUCGUGUAUGUAUCAGUAGAGCAUGUCCAUGUUCAUUAGCUGAUUUGUGAUUAUUGUUAUUUCUUUAAACUGUCUCUGUUUUGUUGUUUGGAUAUGAACUUCCUGUUGAAGCCUUAAUUUUGACACCAAUGUGCAACUGUAUCGACUUUGGAUUGCAGACCAUCUUUCUUCCAGUAGUCGGGCUUGUUGAUCCUGAUAAGUUGAAACCCGGUGAUCUGGUUGGAGUUAAUAAGGAUAGUUACUUGAUCCUGGACACACUGCCUUCUGAGUAUGAUUCUCGGGUGAAGGCAAUGGAAGUUGAUGAGAAACCUACUGAAGAUUAUAAUGACAUUGGAGGGUUGGAGAAGCAGGUCAGUUUCUCGUUCAUGCUUUAUAAUAAGACUUGGUGGUGGUUGUUUAUGCAAAAAAAAAUCUGAUGUCUUAUACUUUUAUCUGGUUUUUAUUGUGACAGAUACAAGAACUUGUUGAGGCUAUUGUGCUGCCAAUGACACACAAAGAGCGUUUCCAGAAGUUGGGGGUUCGUCCACCUAAGGGAGUGCUUCUAUAUGGACCUCCCGGUACUGGGAAGACGUUGAUGGCUCGUGCUUGUGCAGCACAAACAAAUGCUACAUUUUUGAAGCUCGCAGGCCCACAGCUUGUCCAGGUAUGAUUUUCAUAUCUCAAACUGUUUCUUUUUGGUAAAUAUAUUGAGUACUUUCUGCAUGGCAAUGUGUAAUUUAUAAGUGUUUGCGUCUACUCUUUUAGAUUGCCAUUAUUGGCUUACAAUAUGUCAUUUCAUGCAUUGAUUUUGACAGCUGGUGCUCUAUCAAUGUAAUGUUUGUAGUAUGAUGUUUGCU